rnacentral:rRNA from 1 species
AGUGAACGCUGGCGGUAGGCCUAACACAUGCAAGUCGAACGGCAGCACAGUAAGAGCUUGCUCUUACGGGUGGCGAGUGGCGGACGGGUGAGGAAUACAUCGGAAUCUACUUUUUCGUGGGGGAUAACGUAGGGAAACUUACGCUAAUACCGCAUACGACCUACGGGUGAAAGCAGGGGAUCUUCGGACCUUGCGCGAUUGAAUGAGCCGAUGUCGGAUUAGCUAGUUGGCGGGGUAAAGGCCCACCAAGGCGACGAUCCGUAGCUGGUCUGAGAGGAUGAUCAGCCACACUGGAACUGCGACACGGCCCAGACUCCUACGGGAGGCAGCAGUGGGGAAUAUUGGACAAUGGGGGCAAGCCUGAUCCAGCCAUACCGCGUGGGUGAAGAAGGCCUUCGGGUUGUAAAGACCUUUUGUUGGGAAAGAAAAGCAGCAGGUUAAUACCCCGCUGUUCUGACGGUACCCAAAGAAUAAGCACCGGCUAACUUCGUG